rnacentral:rRNA from 1 species
ACGGAAGGCAGCAGUGAGGAAUAUUGGUCAAUGGGCGGAAGCCUGAACCAGCCAAGUCGCGUGAAGGAAGACGGUAUUAUGUAUUGUAAACUUCUUUAGCAGUAGAGCAAUAAGCGCCACGCGUGGCGUGAUGAGAGUAUACUGAGAAUAAGCAUCGGCUAACUCCGUGCCAGCAGCCGCGGUAAUACGGAGGAUGCGAGCGUUAUCCGGAUUUAUUGGGUUUAAAGGGUGCGUAGGCGGGAUGUUAAGUCAGCGGUGAAAGUUUGCGGCUCAACCGUAAAAUUGCCGUUGAAACUGGCGUUCUUGAGUGUAAACGAGGUAGGCGGAAUGUGACGUGUAGCGGUGAAAUGCUUAGAUAUGUCACAGAACCCCGAUUGCGAAGGCAGCUUACCAGCAUACAACUGACGCUGAGGCACGAAAGCGUGGGUAUCAAACAGGAUUAGAUACCCUGGUA